GAUGAACGCUGGCGGCGUGCCUAACACAUGCAAGUCGAGCGAACAGACGAGGAGCUUGCUCCUCUGACGUUAGCGGCGGACGGGUGAGUAACACGUGGAUAACCUACCUAUAAGACUGGGAUAACUUCGGGAAACCGGAGCCAAUACCGGAUAAUAUAUUGAACCGCAUGGUUCAAUAGUGAAAGACGGUUUUGCUGUCACUUAUAGAUGGAUCCGCGCCGCAUUAGCUAGUUGGUAAGGUAACGGCUUACCAAGGCAACGAUGCGUAGCCGACCUGAGAGGGUGAUCGGCCACACUGGAACUGAGACACGGUCCAGACUCCUACGGGAGGCAGCAGUAGGGAAUCUUCGACAAUGGGCGAAAGCCUGACGGAGCAACGCCGCGUGAGUGAUGAAGGUCUUCGGGUCGUAAAGCUCUGUUAUUAGGGAAGAACAAAUGUGUAAGUAACUAUGCACGUCUUGACGGUACCUAAUCAGAAAGCCACGGCUAACUACGUG
rnacentral:rRNA from 1 species